rnacentral:rRNA from 1 species
UGGGGAAUUUUGGACAAUGGGCGAAAGCCUGAUCCAGCAAUGCCGCGUGUGUGAAGAAGGCCUUCGGGUUGUAAAGCACUUUUGUCCGGAAAGAAAUCCUCUGGGUUAAUACCUCGGGGGGAUGACGGUACCGGAAGAAUAAGCACCGGCUAACUACGUGCCAGCAGCCGCGGUAAUACGUAGGGUGCAAGCGUUAAUCGGAAUUACUGGGCGUAAAGCGUGCGCAGGCGGUUUUGUAAGACGGAUGUGAAAUCCCCGGGCUUAACCUGGGAACUGCAUUCGUGACCGCAAGGCUAGAGUAUGGCAGAGGGGGGUAGAAUUCCACGUGUAGCAGGUGAAAUGCGUAGAGAUGUGGAGGAAUACCGAUGGCGAAGGCAGCCCCCUGGGCCAAUACUGACGCUCAUGCACGAAAGCGUGGGGAGCAAACAGGAUUAGAUACCCUGGUAGUCCACGCCCUGAAACGAUGUCAACUAGUUGUUGGGGNUUCAUUUCCUUAGUACGUAGCUAACCGUGAAGUUGACCGCCUGGGGAGUACGGUCGCAAG